rnacentral:rRNA from 5 species
GUCAUGUUAUCGAUAUGUGAAUACAUAGCAUAUCAGAAGGCACACCCGGAGAACUGAAACAUCUUAGUACCCGGAGGAAGAGAAAGAAAAUUCGAUUCCCUUAGUAGCGGCGAGCGAAACGGGAAGAGCCCAAACCAACAAGCUUGCUUGUUGGGGUUGUAGGACACUCUAUACGGAGUUACAAAGGACGACAUUAGACGAAUCAUCUGGAAAGAUGAAUCAAAGAAGGUAAUAAUCCUGUAGUCGAAAAUGUUGUCUCUCUUGAGUGGAUCCUGAGUACGACGGAGCACGUGAAAUUCCGUCGGAAUCUGGGAGGACCAUCUCCUAAGGCUAAAUACUCUCUAGUGACCGAUAGUGAACCAGUACCGUGAGGGAAAGGUGAAAAGCACCCCGGAAGGGGAGUGAAAUAGAACCUGAAACCGUGUGCUUACAAGUAGUCAGAGCCCGUUAAUGGGUGAUGGCGUGCCUUUUGUAGAAUGAACCGGCGAGUUACGAUUUGAUGCAAGGUUAAGCAGUAAAUGUGGAGCCGUAGCGAAAGCGAGUCUGAAUAGGGCGUUUAGUAUUUGGUCGUAGACCCGAAACCAGGUGAUCUACCCUUGGUCAGGUUGAAGUUCAGGUAACACUGAAUGGAGGACCGAACCGACUUACGUUGAAAAGUGAGCGGAUGAACUGAGGGUAGCGGAGAAAUUCCAAUCGAACCUGGAGAUAGCUGGUUCUCUCCGAAAUAGCUUUAGGGCUAGCCUCAAGUGAUGAUUAUUGGAGGUAGAGCACUGUUUGGACGAGGGGCCCCUCUCGGGUUACCGAAUUCAGACAAACUCCGAAUGCCAAUUAAUUUAACUUGGGAGUCAGAACAUGGGUGAUAAGGUCCGUGUUCGAAAGGGAAACAGCCCAGACCACCAGCUAAGGUCCCAAAAUAUAUGUUAAGUGGAAAAGGAUGUGGCGUUGCCCAGACAACUAGGAUGUUGGCUUAGAAGCAGCCAUCAUUUAAAGAGUGCGUAAUAGCUCACUAGUCGAGUGACACUGCGCCGAAAAUGUACCGGGGCUAAACAUAUUACCGAAGCUGUGGAUUGUCCUUUGGACAAUGGUAGGAGAGCGUUCUAAGGGCGUUGAAGCAUGAUCGUAAGGACAUGUGGAGCGCUUAGAAGUGAGAAUGCCGGUGUGAGUAGCGAAAGACGGGUGAGAAUCCCGUCCACCGAUUGACUAAGGUUUCCAGAGGAAGGCUCGUCCGCUCUGGGUUAGUCGGGUCCUAAGCUGAGGCCGACAGGCGUAGGCGAUGGAUAACAGGUUGAUAUUCCUGUACCACCUAUAAUCGUUUUAAUCGAUGGGGGGACGCAGUAGGAUAGGCGAAGCGUGCGAUUGGAUUGCACGUCUAAGCAGUAAGGCUGAGUAUUAGGCAAAUCCGGUACUCGUUAAGGCUGAGCUGUGAUGGGGAGAAGACAUUGUGUCUUCGAGUCGUUGAUUUCACACUGCCGAGAAAAGCCUCUAGAUAGAAAAUAGGUGCCCGUACCGCAAACCGACACAGGUAGUCAAGAUGAGAAUUCUAAGGUGAGCGAGCGAACUCUCGUUAAGGAACUCGGCAAAAUGACCCCGUAACUUCGGGAGAAGGGGUGCUCUUUAGGGUUAACGCCCAGAAGAGCCGCAGUGAAUAGGCCCAAGCGACUGUUUAUCAAAAACACAGGUCUCUGCUAAACCGUAAGGUGAUGUAUAGGGGCUGACGCCUGCCCGGUGCUGGAAGGUUAAGAGGAGUGGUUAGCUUCUGCGAAGCUACGAAUCGAAGCCCCAGUAAACGGCGGCCGUAACUAUAACGGUCCUAAGGUAGCGAAAUUCCUUGUCGGGUAAGUUCCGACCCGCACGAAAGGCGUAACGAUUUGGGCACUGUCUCAACGAGAGACUCGGUGAAAUCAUAGUACCUGUGAAGAUGCAGGUUACCCGCGACAGGACGGAAAGACCCCGUGGAGCUUUACUGUAGCCUGAUAUUGAAAUUCGGCACAGCUUGUACAGGAUAGGUAGGAGCCUUUGAAACGUGAGCGCUAGCUUACGUGGAGGCGCUGGUGGGAUACUACCCUAGCUGUGUUGGCUUUCUAACCCGCACCACUUAUCGUGGUGGGAGACAGUGUCAGGCGGGCAGUUUGACUGGGGCGGUCGCCUCCUAAAAGGUAACGGAGGCGCUCAAAGGUUCCCUCAGAAUGGUUGGAAAUCAUUCAUAGAGUGUAAAGGCAUAAGGGAGCUUGACUGCGAGACCUACAAGUCGAGCAGGGUCGAAAGACGGACUUAGUGAUCCGGUGGUUCCGCAUGGAAGGGCCAUCGCUCAACGGAUAAAAGCUACCCCGGGGAUAACAGGCUUAUCUCCCCCAAGAGUUCACAUCGACGGGGAGGUUUGGCACCUCGAUGUCGGCUCAUCGCAUCCUGGGGCUGUAGUCGGUCCCAAGGGUUGGGCUGUUCGCCCAUUAAAGCGGUACGCGAGCUGGGUUCAGAACGUCGUGAGACAGUUCGGUCCCUAUCCGUCGUGGGCGUAGGAAAUUUGAGAGGAGCUGUCCUUAGUACGAGAGGACCGGGAUGGACAUACCUCUGGUGUACCAGUUGUCGUGCCAACGGCAUAGCUGGGUAGCUAUGUGUGGACGGGAUAAGUGCUGAAAGCAUCUAAGCAUGAAGCCCCCCUCAAGAUGAGAUUUCCCAACUUCGGUUAUAAGAUCCCUCAAAGAUGAUGAGGUUAAUAGGUUCGAGGUGGAAGCAUGGUGACAUGUGGAGCUGACGAAUACUAAUCGAUCGAAGACUUAAUCAA